rnacentral:misc_RNA from 1 species
AACGCACGAGACCUGCGGACCUGCGGAAGGAUCAUUACCGAGUUAUCCAACUCCCAACCCCUGUGAAUCAUACCUUUAAUUGUUGCUUCGGCGGGACUUCGCGCCCGCCGGGGACCCAAACCUUCUGAAUUUUUUAAUAAGUAUCUUCUGAGUGGUUAAAAAAAAUGAAUCAAAACUUUCAACAACGGAUCUCU